GACCUACUUACCGAACAGUCACCGGACGGUGGCAUGCCUGGGACAUCCAGGAUUAGGGAGUAGGUCGUUU
rnacentral:sRNA from 12 species